UACAGAGGUCUCAAGCGUUGUUCGGAUUCAUUGGGCGUAAAGGGUGCGUAGGCGGCGCGGUAAGUCGGGUGUGAAAUCUCGGAGCUUAACUCCGAAACUGCAUUCGAUACUGCCGUGCUUGAGGACUGGAGAGGAGACUGGAAUUUACGGUGUAGCGGUGAAAUGCGUAGAUAUCUGGAGGAACACCGGUGGCGAAGGCGGCAUCCUGGACCGAGAUUGACGCUGAGGCGCGAAAGCCAGGGGAGCAAACGGG
rnacentral:rRNA from 1 species